ensembl:lncRNA
ACAGAUGCCCAAGGCCCCUUGGCGCUAAUAGAGCUAGAACUUGAUCCCACCCUGUGUGACUCCAGACAGCUCUGGCCCGCUCCUGCCUGGGAACUGAAAGGCCUAGAUUUGGGAGCACCACUAACUGGCUGUAACCUUGGGCAAGUCCUUUCUCUCCAGCCUCAAGCUCUUCCUCUAAACAAGGAGGGCAGACAACAGGGUCACUGAGGGCCCUUCCAGUCGGAGCUGACAUUCUUGGAAGUCUAAACCAACUCGCCUCCCCCCGCUGGCUGAGUGGGGGAAAGGCUGCCAGAACAUCCUGCAGCAUCUCAUUGGGCCCCCUUGCCCAGGGCACAGGGCAGGCCUUUCCCCAGAGAGCACUCCUCUGCCCAGCCCGGGGAGCACAAGGCCUCCUCCACUCCCUUCCAGCUCAUUGCAGAUGGGUAACAGUCUGUGGAUUGGCCGUGGUCUGAGGACACCUCUUUGAUAGCAUCGAUUCAGGCUGUUGAGAGGUGGACGCUGGCGUUGCAGAACCUCUCAGAUUGCCAGAAGGAACAAGGCUCCUGCAUCCCUGUUCCCCUAAGCAGGUACUUCUGGACACCAAGUCAAUUAACCUCAAGAUGUCCCAGGCCAGGCGCGCUGCGCUGACUUACGGCUGGAUCCCUCCUUCCAUCCCAGUCUGUCUCCCAGGACCUUCAGGAUGUACAUUGUUAUUAAAGUGUCCCCGCCAGUGGCCCCUGAUAAGCAUACAGAGCUGUGGGGUCGGGGUUGGAGUGGGGCGACCUGGGAGAGAGAAGUACGUACAGGUAGAGGCCCGCCUUCUUUGAUUCCAACGCUAUACAAAACUUGGCCCAAGCAUCACCUCCUGCAGAAAGUCAUCCCGGGCCUGCAGCCAGACUGAGGGCCCCCGCCUGCGCUGCUGCAUCACAGAACAGGUCUCCCUGCAUUCACAUGGAACAGUUGACAUAGUAAAUUCGAAGGUGGUGCCAGCGCCUCUGGGGGUUGGAGGUGGUGUCACCUGCCUUGGUUCGAGGGUCUGACCAGAUUUCAGGGCUUGUCUGGGUGCCCCUGCGCAGGGUACAGUCUGUACAACUCUAAGCAGUGGCCCAGGUAGUUGGAGCUCCAGGCCCAUCUCUGGCAGACUUCAGGGGACUGGGGAGCGGGAAUUGUGUCUGGGACGUUGCAUCUUGAGUACAGAGGUCUCCGCCUGGUUGAGCAACAGAAAACACUGGCUUAAAAAAAUGUAGACACUCUGGCUCCAAUUUUAGGAAUUCUACCUCCAGAGGUCUGACAAGGGUCCUGAGUCUCGAAAACUUUUUUUUUUUUUUGAAGAUGAUUAGCCCUGAGCUAACUGCUGCCAAUCCUCCUAUUUUUUGCUGAAGAAGACUGACCCUGCCUGAGCUAACAUCUGUGCCCAUCUUCCUCUACUUUCUAUGUGGGACGCCUGCCCAGCAUGGCUUGCCAAGCGGUGCCAUGUCCACAUCCGGGAUCUGGGCUGGCGAACCCCGGACACCAGGAAGUAGAAUGUGCACACUUAACUGCUGCGCCACCGGGCUGGCCCCUUGACAUUUUGAAAAAGUGCCAUGUGACUCUGAUGCCCAGCUGCUGUCUGACCCAUAAGAGGUGUCUGGUGACUGUGCUCAUAGAAGUGCAGCACGUCUGUGAAGGGACACACAGGGAUCUGUGGCCUGCGGGGAGGGGAGCUGGGGGACAUCAGAGGAAGAUGAGUCACUUUUUGUUAUACAUCUUUUUGUACUGAUUGGACUUUUAACCUAAAAAAAAUGUUUGACCAACUGAUGUUGUUGCUGUCAUCUACGUGAGGGACCACCAACUCUAGGCCUGCGGCUGGGGCCUGCUGUCCGGCGAAGGACAGGAGCAGGCCAGAGGAACGG